rnacentral:rRNA from 1 species
GUAGGGAAUCUUCGGCAAUGGACGAAAGUCUGACCGAGCAACGCCGCGUGAGUGAAGAAGGUUUUCGGAUCGUAAAACUCUGUUGGUAGAGAAGAACGUUGUGGAGAGUGGAAAGCUCAUCAAGUGACGGUAACUACCCAGAAAGGGACGGCUAACUACGUGCCAGCAGCCGCGGUAAUACGUAGGUCCCGAGCGUUGUCCGGAUUUAUUGGGCGUAAAGCGAGCGCAGGUGGUUUAUUAAGUCUGGUGUAAAAGGCAGUGGCUCAACCAUUGUAUGCA